rnacentral:rRNA from 1 species
UGCAGUCGAGCGGUAACAGGAAGUAGCUUGCUACUUCGCUGACGAGCGGCGGACGGGUGAGUAAUGCCUGGGAAUAUGCCUUGAUGUGGGGGAUAACUAUUGGAAACGAUAGCUAAUACCGCAUAAUGCCUACGGGCCAAAGAGGGGGAUCUUCGGACCUCUCGCGUCAAGAUUAGCCCAGGUGGGAUUAGCUAGUUGGUGGGGUAAAGGCUCACCAAGGCGACGAUCCCUAGCUGGUCUGAGAGGAUGAUCAGCCACACUGGAACUGAGACACGGUCCAGACUCCUACGGGAGGCAGCAGUGGGGAAUAUUGCACAAUGGGGGAAACCCUGAUGCAGCCAUGCCGCGUGUAUGAAGAAGGCCUUCGGGUUGUAAAGUACUUUCAGCAGUGAGGAAGGUGGUANUGUUAAUAGCACUAUCAUUUGACGUUAGCUGCAGAAGAAGCACCGGCUAACUCCGUGCCAGCAGCCGCGGUAAUACGGAGGGUGCGAGCGUUAAUCGGAAUUACUGGGCGUAAAGCGCAUGCAGGCGGUCUGUUAAGCAAGAUGUGAAAGCCCGGGGCUCAACCUCGGAACAGCAUUUUGAACUGGCAGACUAGAGUCUUGUAGAGGGGGGUAGAAUUUCAGGUGUAGCGGUGAAAUGCGUAGAGAUCUGAAGGAAUACCGGNGGCGAANGGNGGCCCCCUGGACAAAGACUGACGCUCAGAUGCGAAAGCGUGGGGAGCAAACAGNAUUAGAUACC